CAGUAGCCGCGGGAAUACGAAGGGUGCAAGCGUUAAUCGGAAUUACUGGGCGUAAAGCGUGCGUAGGCGGUUUGUUAAGUCUGCUGUGAAAUCCCCGGGCUCAACCUGGGAAUGGCAGUGGAUACUGGCAAGCUAGAGUGUGUCAGAGGAUGGUGGAAUUCCCGGUGUAGCGGUGAAAUGCGUAGAGAUCUGGAGGAAUACCGAUGGCGAAGGCAGCCAUCUGGCCUAAUACUGACGCUGAGGUACGAAAGCAUGGGGAGCAAACAGGAUUAGAUACCCGAGUAGUCCCUGUCUCUUAUAC
rnacentral:rRNA from 1 species